rnacentral:rRNA from 1 species
UUAAGCAUAUCAAUAAGCGGAGGAAAAGAAACCAACCGGGAUUACCUCAGUAACGGCGAGUGAAGCGGUAACAGCUCAAAUUUGAAAUCUGGCUCUUCCGGAGUCCGAGUUGUAAUUUGUAGAAGAUGCUUUGGGAGGUAGGGCCGGCCUAAGUUCCUUGGAACAGGACAUCAGAGAGGGUGAGAAUCCCGUAUGUGGCCGUGGCCUACGCCCGUGUAAAGCUCUUUCGACGAGUCGAGUUGUUUGGGAAUGCAGCUCAAAAUGGGUGGUAAAUUUCAUCUAAAGCUAAAUAUUGGCCAGAGACCGAUAGCGCACAAGUAGAGUGAUCGAAAGAUGAAAAGCACUUUGGAAAGAGAGUUAAACAGUACGUGAAAUUGUUGAAAGGGAAGCGCUUGCAACCAGACUUGGGCGUCGUCGAUCAUCCGGGGUUCUCCUCGGUGCACUCGACGAGGCACAGGCCAGCAUCGGUUUGGAUGGUUGGAGAAAGGCCCUAGGAACGUAGCUCUCUUCGGGGAGUGUUAUAGCCUAGAGCGCAAUGCAGCCCAUCCGGACCGAGGACCGCGCCUUUGGCUAGGAUGCUGGCGUAAUGGUUGCAAGCGACCCGUCUUGAA